UACGAAGGGUGCAAACGUUGCUCGGAAUUAUUGGGCGUAAAGCGCACGUAGGCGGCAUUGCAAGUCCCAUGUGAAAUCCCACGGCUUAACCGUGGAAGUGCAUGGGAAACUGCAGUGCUUGAGUACUUAAGAGGAUCGCGGAAUUCCCGGUGUAGAGGUGAAAUUCGUAGAUAUCGGGAGGAACACCAGUGGCGAAGGCGGCGAUCUGGGAAGAUACUGACGCUGAGGUGCGAAAGCGUGGGGAGCGAACAGG
rnacentral:rRNA from 1 species